rnacentral:rRNA from 1 species
UACGUAGGGACCGAGCGUUGUCCGGAUUUAUUGGGCGUAAAGAGCGUGUAGGCGGCUUGGUAGGUCCGCUGUGAAAACUCGAGGCUCAACCUCGAGAUGUCGGCGGAAACCACUUGGCUAGAGUCCGGAAGAGGAGAGUGGAAUUCCCGGUGUAGCGGUGAAAUGCGCAGAUAUCGGGAAGAACACCUAUGGCGAAGGCAGCUCUCUGGGACGGUACUGACGCUGAGACGCGAAAGCGUGGGGAGCGAACAGG